rnacentral:tRNA from 1 species
GGACCUGUAGCUCAGCUUGGAUAGAGCACCUGCCUUCUAAGCAGGGGGUCGUGGGUUCGAAUCCCAUCAGGUCCG